CCUACGGGUGGCAGCAGUGAGGAAUAUUGGUCAAUGGGCUUACGCCUGAACCAGCCAAGUCGCGUGAGGGAAGACUGCCCUAUGGGUUGUAAACCUCUUUUGUCAGGGAGCAAUUGGCGCUACGUGUAGCGUUAUCGAGAGUACCUGAAGAAAAAGCAUCGGCUAACUCCGUGCCAGCAGCCGCGGUAAUACGGAGGAUGCGAGCGUUAUCCGGAUUUAUUGGGUUUAAAGGGUGCGUAGGCGGAAUGCCAAGUCAGCGGUAAAAGCCCGGGGCUCAACCCCGGCGAGCCGUUGAAACUGGCGGGCUGGAGUUGGAGAGAAGUACGCGGAAUGCGCGGUGUAGCGGUGAAAUGCUUAGAUAUCGCGCAGAACCCCGAUUGCGAAGGCAGCGUACCGGCUCCACACUGACGCUGAGGCUCGAAAGCGUGGGGAGCAAACAGGAUUAGAUACCCCAGUAGUC
rnacentral:rRNA from 1 species